GGUUCUUUCUCAGAUUAUACUGAAUGACAUGAUGAAGAGUCUCCUGCUGAGUUCUUUGCAGAUAACAAAAACAUUGCUGGUUUUGACAAUCCUGGGAAAUGUCUUUACACUACUGUGAGAGAACUUGUUGAGAAUGCACUUGAUUUUGCUGAAUCCAUCUCUGAACUUCCAGUUGUAGAGAUAACCAUAGAUUGGCAGAAGUAAAUUUAAUUCCUUGAUUGG